CAGAGGAGCCAAGCGUUGUCCGGAUUGACUGGGCGUAAAGCGCACGCAGGCGGAUGCGCGCGUGGGGUGUGAAAUCUGGCCGCUUAACGGCCAGGCGCCAUCCCAUACGGCGCAUCUGGAGCCUUGCAGAGGUCGGUAGAAUUGCCGGUGUAGUGGUGAAAUGCGUAGAGAUCGGCAGGAACACCCAGGGGAAAACCAGCCGACUGGGCAAGUGCUGACGCUGAGAUGCGAGAGCGUGGGGAGCGAACCGGAUUAGAUACCCGGGUAGUCCACGCCGUAAACGAUGGCCACUCGGCCUUUGAGAACGGAAUCUCCGUCCGUGGGAGCCUUAGCAAACGCGGGAAGUGGCCCGCCUAGGAACUACGAGCGCAAGCUUA
rnacentral:rRNA from 1 species